GACGAACGCUGGCGGCGUGCCUAAUACAUGCAAGUUGAGCGCUGAAGGUUGGUACUUGUACCAACUGGAUGAGCAGCGAACGGGUGAGUAACGCGUGGGGAAUCUGCCUUUGAGCGGGGGACAACAUUUGGAAACGAAUGCUAAUACCGCAUAAAAACUUUAAACACAAGUUUUAAGUUUGAAAGAUGCAAUUGCAUCACUCAAAGAUGAUCCCGCGUUGUAUUAGCUAGUUGGUGAGGUAAAGGCUCACCAAGGCGAUGAUACAUAGCCGACCUGAGAGGGUGAUCGGCCACACUGGGACUGAGACACGGCCCAAACUCCUACGGGAGGCAGCAGGAGGGAAUCUUCGGCAAUGGACGAAAGUCUGACCGAGCAACGCCGCGGGAGUGAAGAAGGUUUUCGGAUCGUAAAACUCUGUUGGUAGAGAAGAACGUUGGUGAGAGUGGAAAGCUCAUCAAGUGACGGUAACUACCCAGAAAGCGACGGCUAACUACGUG
rnacentral:rRNA from 1 species